GAUGAUGCAACGGAACGGGGAUCUUUCGCCGGGCCGUGCGUAGAGGAAACCCGGCGGCCGAUUGCAUCAGCUUUAAGGACGUGGAGUGACAACCUGGCAGAGGUCAACCCUCAGAAGAUGGGGCCUGUGUCACCUGUUUGCAAAAUUAGAUGUGGUGCCCAUUAAGAUAGUUGCAGAAGCUGAGGGCCUGCGGUACAGCAGACCUAUCCAUCUGAGGACGUCUAGGCCUACCCUGUAUGCUUUAAGCCCUGAGAGAAAUAUCUCCAUUCUAUCCUACUGAACAUGUUCUUCACAUCUGGAAAAGUGGAGAUGGCAGUGUAAUUGGAAAGUCCACUCUCCUAAUCCUGAGCUGUACAGAGCACUGGCAAUUCCAAUGGGCGCUACAGGUGCUGAUCAGGCCCAAAACGAGAGGUCUCUAAAUGGGAGCUGCAUUUCUCACCGAGAAAAGAACAAGUGGAAGAGACAGACUAGUGUGAGCAUGCAUUUCUCUGUCCAUAUGCAGAUGUUUUGCCAUAUUGGCAAUAUUUUGAGUUCCAUGGUAAGUACAUAUUGACAAUUGGCAAAGUCUCAGUGGGCCCAAGUUGGGAGGAGAUUGAAGAAAUCAAGGCUUUGCUGUGAUCUGCAGCAAGAACAUGCUCCUUCUCUGUGCAGAGAAAGUACUAUUGGGGGGAUUCUGCAUCUGAUGUUUCACAACAGCAGAUGAUCAUUGUUGGCCAGAUUGAGAGCCCCUUACUUGCAAUGAUAAGCAGUUGUUCACAUGAGGAGUCCUGUUGUAACGAUUUGUAUAGGUAACUGUUCAUCAGUAUUCAGGGUUUACAUUCUGGCCCUGUGUGUUUCCCAACAGAGGUUGUGAGAUGACAAGAGUCUUAUCUUAUUUAAGUGGAAGCAAGAAAUGAACAUUGGAACGUGGCAGGCAGGAGGCUGGAGCUGUCACUUAGCUCUCCUUGUUCUCCAGCCUGGUCACAGACAUGCAAGACUCUAACCCAGCAAUGGAUGAUUAAUUGCUGGACAUAGCGAAGUCUAGGUGCUCGUCAGAAGGGCUACAAACUGGAAAACAGGUUAGUUUUGCAGACAAGUCUUCCAUUGUCCAGGGCUGGCUCCAGCUUUUUGCCGCCCCAAGUGGUGAAGAAAAAAAAUUAAAACAAACAAACAAACGAUUGAGCAGCUGCUGAAGUGCCGACGACGUGUGAAGAGAAGGAGAGUGAAGGACCCGCCGCCAAACUGCCGCCAAAGAACCAGACGUGCCGCCCCAACAACAGUGGAAUGCCACCCCUUUCUAUUGGCCGCCCCAGAGACCUGCCUCCUUCGCUGACCUUCCACCCUGUGCCAUCAUGUGUUCAUGAGCGAACUGGAACCAAAUGGCAGCAGAUGGAUGGGUAUCCUCACAUAGAGGUAUGUGCUGUACCCCAGCAACCCUUACUCUGGUACCUAUCUACCUCUCAGAUGGGCAGCCCUGUGGGACUAGAGGCUGGUCUUUUAUACUGCCUUGUUCCUAGCCAGAUUACCAGUCACAUGACCUGCCUUUAGCAAAAAGGGUGCCAAAGGCUGAGGAAGAACACCCCAAACAUGGAUUCUCAACAGCAACUAAGGGAAAUCCAAGAUGGCUGUGUGCAGAUAACAUAAAAAUUGAAAAAUAAAGAAAGUUCCCCUACAGAGGGACAGGCAAUGAGCUUGAGCAAGUCCUGGGGAGGGUCAGCAGCAGAGCCCCUGAAGGACAGCAACAGUAGGCUGGGGAAGUUCUGUGGGUGUAGGGGUGGUUCCUUGUGGGGAAUGAGCUGGGGAUGGAGCCCAUGAACGGCUUGGCUAAAGAGACCUGAGGAAGGUCAAGGAGGAGAUGAGCAACAUAAGCAGUAGCCAAGGGGAAAGUGAAGCUGGAGUAUGUGAGUAACAGGGACAGUUGCUUCCUGAACCCAGUGUGGAGGGAGGGACUCAGCUCCCCAAUACCCAGUUGUGCCACCUGCAGCUAAGUGGCAAAGGCCUUAUGACGGUGCAGGCUCAGUCCUCAGAGGGUUAAUGUAGCAGAUGCUAGAAGUAAGGACGCAGCUAGAUUGCUUACCUGCUCCAUUACCCCAGGUAGUCUAAUGAGUGCAUCUGGGCCCCAGCUGAGCUGCCUGAUUGGCCUAACCCUCCGAUUGGCUGAGGGGAUCAGCAGACUUGUUCUGAAGGCUGCAACAGGUGAGUACUAGCUGCUCAAAGCUUUUGUCCAUGGUUAUGGUACCUGUUGCCUUGCCGUGCUACAGGUAAUCAGGUUCUGACCUUUAAGUCUGGCUCUGACCCUGGAUGCCCAUUCCUGGCUGCUGACUCCUGCUCUAACCACUGUGACAGCCCAUGUCCCAGUCCCUGGCAGUUAACUCUGACCUGUUAGAGGGGGUUGGGGAAAUAUAAAGGGCUGCCUGGGAGGCAGUAAAGGGAGGAAAGCUGGGUGUGAGUAGGAGCAUAGCUUACAGCUCUGCAUAAUUGUAGAGACUGUUGAUGGUAGUUGCUGCCUUUGUUUUGUUAGUGCUACUGCUUUUCUGUUGGCAGUCUGUCUACGUUCCCAUACUGGUGGCCUGACUGUUUUAUUUAUUGCUGGGAGAUCAGUGUGUCAGCCCACUGGUAUCUGCCAAAAAGUAAAAUGGUCAAGACCUCAGAACAGGCAAAGGACCUCCCCUACACCAAGGGGAGAAACUUUGUUGUGUAGGGUUAGACUUUUGACUGCUCUGUAAGGGGAAGACUUUCACUUUGAUUAGAGGGCCAAAGCACUAAAUCAUUGAACCGCCACAAAGAGACUGUAGACCACAGCUGGGAAACUGAGGUACAUAACCAUCCAGACAGCAGAGGAAAGCUGCUCCUUCACAGGGUCCCUUCACCUGUACCUUACUACAUCCUUCAUUGUUUGCAAGAACUAUCCCACAUCUUGCCUGCUUUACAACAUUUGACUUUGCUGGAAGGAACACAAGUGAGUGAGUAGCUGCCCACUGUACCCAAUGUGUUCAAUAUUUUGUCAGUUAACUCAAGUGUAACAUUCUGCAGAUAGUCUGGGAAGAUACAGGUUAAGGGUCAAGGCUCCUAAGUGACUACAGAUAGGAUUCAGAACUUUAAACUAUCAAAUUGUUUUAUGUAGUGUAUAUAAGGGAAUUAGGAUGUGACGGAUUUGAGAUGUUGGAGGUCUGGAAGUGUCAGCAGAUUGUUAUACUGAGGUGUGCCAGAUGUUUUUGUAGGCACUGCGAUUAUUCCUAUUCUUGUGUACAUGUAACACUUAGAUAUCUGUGUGCAUUAGGGAUUAUAUUCUAGCUCCAUGGGGAAUGGUCACUGAGCUUCCACCAGGAACUAAAAUCUGGGGGGUAUAAUUAAUGCAAAUUCUAGGACAGGUAAACAACUCUGGGGAAUCCCCCUAUGCCCCCUGGGAAUUGCCUGUACGGGCUCAGAUUAGGUUCAAGAGGCCCAGCAAACAAAGAAAGGGCUCUUGGUAUAAAUGGUCAGCCUGAACUGGCAGGGGGACCCUCAUUUGAUCCUCAAACUGAUAUGAAGUUGUAACCAAGAGGGUGAAACUCUUUGGGAAGGGCUUAAAGGAUAGGUAACUUGCCAGGGUCUCCAAGUGGAACACAGGUGACAUGUUUCUCUUUGGUUCCAGGAUGCACACACACUUGCUUUUGCUCUCAUUCCUUAAAGAGGCUUUGGAAUUUGUGCCUUCAGUGAAAAGCUUCUGGGCUCUAAGCCUGUGCUCACUGGGCUUGCUCUAAUUUCCUGACACUGAGUAUGUCUAUGUCUCAGUAGAUAAGCGAUCAGGAUUUGCGAUAUCUCGUAGGGAAUUCAUUUUCAAAUACAAGUGAAAGCCCAUUUCUUUACAGGUAUUAGAGCUUCGAAACCAUAAUGAGAGAGGUUCUGAGACAUUAACAGCUGCAGUAAUCACAGAUGGGUUGUCUGAAUCUCCAAGUUCUUGUGAUGUUGUUGAAGGGGAGCUUUGUUUUCAAGUAAGUCAACAUGUGUCUAUCUUAAGUUAAACUAAUGUGAACCACUCCAAAAUGAAUUCUCUUUAGUUUAUUAUGAAGAAAUGCCCCUCACAGGCAGUGUGGAAUGAGGAAAUAGAAAGCACAAGUUCCCAUUUGUGCUCACAAAUGCCACAGCUGCAAUGUCUUUAAAAGCACAUCCGUUUUAUUUCAAUGUAAACAGAACGAAGCACUUCUUGUCAGUGUCAUGGGGUUGGCAGUAGAUCUCAUUGCCUCUUCUGUGUGGU